UACGGGGGGAGCAAGCGUUGUUCGGAUUUACUGGGCGUAAAGGGCGCGUAGGCGGCGUGACAAGUCACUUGUGAAAUCUCCGGGCUUAACUCGGAACGGUCAAGUGAUACUGUCGGACUAGAGUACAGAAGGGGCAACUGGAAUUCUCGGUGUAGCGGUGAAAAUGCGCAGAUAUCGGGAGGAACACCAAUGGCGAAGGCAGCUUGCUGGGACGGUACUGACGCUGAGGCGCGAAAAGCGUGGGGGAGCAAACAGG
rnacentral:rRNA from 1 species